rnacentral:rRNA from 1 species
AUUGAACGCUGGCGGCAGGCUUAACACAUGCAAGUCGAGCGGGGUGAUGGUGCUUGCACUAUCACUUAGCGGCGGACGGGUGAGUAAUGCUUAGGAAUCUGCCUAUUAGUGGGGGACAACAUCUCGAAAGGGAUGCUAAUACCGCAUACGUCCUACGGGAGAAAGCAGGGGAUCACUUGUGACCUUGCGCUAAUAGAUGAGCCUAAGUCGGAUUAGCUAGUUGGUGGGGUAAAGGCCUACCAAGGCGACGAUCUGUAGCGGGUCUGAGAGGAUGAUCCGCCACGCUGGGACUGAGACACGGCCCAGACUCUUACGGGAGGCAGCAGUGGGGAAUAUUGGACAAUGGGGGGAACCCUGAUCCAGCCAUGCCGCGUGUGUGAAGAAGGCCUUAUGGUUGUAAAGCACUUUAAGCGAGGAGGAGGCUCUUUUGGUUAAUACCCAAGAUGAGUGGACGUUACUCGCAGAAUAAGCACCGGCUAACUCUGUGCCAGCCGCCGCAGUAA